rnacentral:rRNA from 1 species
CACGGAGGGGGCGAGCGUUACUCGUACGUAUUGGGCGUAAAGCGUGCGCAGGCGGUUGUGCAAGACCGAUGUGAAAUCCCCGGGCUUAACCUGGGAAUGGCAUUGGUGACUGCACGGCUAGAGUGUGUCAGAGGGGGGUAGAAUUCCACGUGUAGCAGUGAAAUGCGUAGAGAUGUGGAGGAAUACCGAUGGCGAAGGCAGCCCCCUGGGAUAACACUGACGCUCAUGCACGAAAGCGUGGGGAGCAAACAGG